GGGUGUGAGUGGCUCUGGCUGCAACGUCUGUCAUUCCAUUGAUCGCCAGGCUGGCUUCAUUAGUUCUGGCUGGCUAGGCUAGGGUCUCCUUUCUCCCUCCCCCUUCCAUGUGCAUCUCUUCUCAAGCUGCAUGCUCUGUCAAAGAAGGCAUCCUUCUCUAGUAGAGUGGACCAUUCUUCAGACAAGAGUCUACUUA
rnacentral:snRNA from 1 species